GAAACGACUGCUAAGACUGGAUAGGAGAUAAGAAGGCAUCUUUUUAUUUUUAAAAGACCUAGCAAUAGGUAUGCUUAGGGAAGAGCUUGCGUCACAUUAGUUAGUUGGUGGGGUAAUGGCCUACCAAGACGAUGAUGUGUAGCCGGGCUGAGAGGUCGAACGGCCACAUUGGGACUGAGACACGGCCCAAACUCCUACGGGAGGCAGCAGUAAGGAAUUUUCGGCAAUGGAGGAAACUCUGACCGAGCAAUGCCGCGUGAACGAUGAAGUAUUUCGGUACGUAAAGUUCUUUUAUUAGGGAAGAAAAGAUGGUGGAAAAACCAUUAUGACGGUACCUAAUGAAUAAGCCCCGGCUAACUAUGUGCCAGCAGCCGCGGUAAUACAUAGGGGGCAAGCGUUAUCCGGAAUUAUUGGGCGUAAAGGGUGCGUAGGCGGUUAAAUAAGUUUAUGGUCUAAGUGCAACGCUCAACGUUGUGAUGCUAUAAAAACUGUUUAGCUAGAGUUGGAUAGAGGCAAGUGGAAUUCCGUGUGUAGUGGUAAAAUGCGUAAAUAUACGGAGGAACACCAGAAGCGAAGGCGGCUUGCUGGGUCUUAACUGACGCUGAGGCACGAAAGCGUGGGGAGCAAACAGGAUUAGAUACCCUGGUAGUCCACGCCCUAAACGAUGAGUACUAAACGUUGGAUAAAACCAGUGUUGAAGUUAACACAUUAAGUACUCCGCCUGAGUAGUACGUACGCAAGUAUGAAACUUAAAGGAAUUGACGGGACUCCGCACAAGCGGUGGAUCAUGUUGUUUAAUUCGAAGGUACCCGAAAAACCUCACCAGGUCUUGACAUGCUUUUGCAAAGCUGUAGAAAUACAGUGGAGGUUAUCAGAAGCACAGGUGGUGCAUGGUUGUCGUCAGCUCGUGUCGUGAGAUGUUGGGUUAAGUCCCGCAACGAGCGCAACCCUUGUUGUUAAUUGCCAUCAUUAAGUUGGGGACUUUAGCAAGACUGCCAAUGAUAAAUUGGAGGAAGGUGGGGACGACGUCAAAUCAUCAUGCCCCUUAUGACCUGGGCUACAAACGUGAUACAAUGGCUGUUACAAAGGGUAGCUAAAGCGUAAGCUUCUGGCGAAUCUCAAAAAAGCAGUCUCAGUUCGGAUUGAAGUCUGCAACUCGACUUCAUGAAGUUGGAAUCGCUAGUAAUCGCGAAUCAGCAUGUCGCGGUGAAUACCUUCCCGGGGUUUGUACACACCGCCCGUCAAAUCACGA
rnacentral:rRNA from 1 species